rnacentral:rRNA from 1 species
GACAGAGGUUGCAAACGUUGUUCGGAAUCACUGGGCAUAAAGCGCACGUAGGCGGCUGGCUAAGUCAGGUGUGAAAUCCCCCGGCUCAACCGGGGAACUGCGCCUGAUACUGGCCGGCUUGAGGACGGUUGGGGUGAGUGGAACUCCAGGUGGAGCGGUGAAAUGCGUAGAUAUGCGGAGGAACACCGAUGGCGAAGGCAAUCCCCUGGGCCUGCACUGACGCUCAUGCACGAAAGCGUGGGGAGCAAACAGG